rnacentral:misc_RNA from 1 species
UUUCUGUAGGUGAACCUGCGGAAGGAUCAUUGUCGAAACCUGCCCAGCAGAACGACCCGCGAACUUGUAUAAACAACCGGGGGCGGGGGGCGUUCUCGCCCCGUGCCCCCGAACGGCGGGGAGACACUCGUGCCUUCUUGCCGAACAACGAACCCCGGCGCGGCCUGCGCCAAGGAACUUCAACUAAAGAGUGCCUCCGGUCGCCUCGGAAACGGCGUGCGUGCUGGGGGCGAAGCUUGUGCAAAACCAUAACGACUCUCGGCAACGGAUAUCUCGGCUCUC